AAGAGAGUUAGAGAAGCAAUGCAUGAAGAAUAUGCCAGGGUGUUUGAUUAUCAACUAGAAAUAUUGAGGAGCAAUCCAGGAAGCACUGUGGCAGUUGUGCUUAAUCCAAAAGAAACUGCACCUGUUUUCCAGAGACUGCAUGUGUGCUUUCAGGAUUGCAAGAGAGGUUUCAUAGAAGGGUGCAGGAAAGUAGUGGGUUUGGAUGGCUGCUUCUUUAAGGGGGCUCAAAGUGGAGAGCUACUAUGUGCUCUUGGAAGAGAUGCAAAUGGGCAAAUGUAUCCCAUUGCUUGGGCAACAGUUGAGGUGGAAAAUAAGAACUUCUGGUUCUAGUUUAUGGCAUUGUUAAAUAAAGACUUGGAGAUUUCAAACCAAGGUGAAGGCUGAGUGUUUAUAUCAGAUCAGCAGAAAGGUCUAAUCAAUGCAAUUUCAAAGGUUGUACCAAGAGCUGAACACGGAAAUUGUGCUAGGCACAUUUAUGCUAACUGGAAGAAAAAACAUAGGGACCAGAAAUACCAGAAGAGAUUUUGGGCUUGUGCAGAGUCUUCUAACAGAGUCCAGUUCAAUUUAAACAGGGCAAAGCUUGCACAACUCACACCAGAAGGAGCAAAAGACAUGAUGCAGUUUGGGCCUGAACAUUGGUGUAGAGCAUGGUUCAAAGAAGGAUCAUUCUGUGAUUCAGUUGACAACAAUAUGUGUGAAAGUUUUAACAAUUGGAUAGUGGAAUAUAGAGGUCUUCCUAUCAUCAGUAUGUUUGAAGCAAUCAGAGCAAAGGUGACUGUAAGGAUUCAAGUUAAUAGAGCUAUGCCUGCCAAUUGGAAUGGAACAAUUUGUCCCAAAAUCCUCAAAAAGGUGAACAAGUUGAUACAACUUACUGAGAAGUGUGAGACAAUAUGGAAUGGAAAAGAUGGAUAUGAGGUGAACUUAGGACAACAUGGAUUCAAAGUAGACUUGCAAGCAGGAACAUGUUCUUGUAGAUACUGGCAAUUAUCAGGAAUUCCAUGUGUUCAUGCUCUAGCAGCUUCACAGUGUGGCCCUGAUGACAUUGAUUCACUUAUUGCACCUUGCUACAGAAUUGAAGCUUACAACAGGACAUAUGAACAUGUCAUGAUGCCAAUGGAGGGCAUGCCUAGCUGGCCAAUAUCUGACAGGCCUAGACCAUUAGUUCCAAGCUAUGUGCAAAUGCCUGGGAGGCCCAGGACAGAGACAAUAAGAGGUGGAGAUGAGCCUCCUAAGCAUGCACACAAACUCUCAAAGAUUGGAACUAAGAUCAAAGUGUAG
rnacentral:rRNA from 1 species